rnacentral:rRNA from 1 species
UACGUACUGUGCGAACGUUAUUCGGAAUCACUGGGCUUAAAGGGUGUGUAGGCGGCUAGCUAAGUAGGGUGUGAAAGGCCUUGGCUCAACCAAGGCACUGCGCUCUAAACUGACUGGCUUGAGUAAGUUAGGGGUGUGCGGAACUUCCAGUGGAGCGGUGAAAUGUGUUGAUAUUGGAAGGAACGCCGGUGGCGAAAGCGGCACACUGGGUCUUUACUGACGCUGAGACACGAAAGCCAGGGUAGCGAACGGG